UACAGAGGUCUCAAGCGUUGUUCGGAUUCAUUGGGCGUAAAGAGCGUGUAGGCGGUCCGGUAAGUCGGCUGUGAAAGUCCAGGGCUCAACCCUGGGAUGCCGGUCGAUACUGCCGGACUAGAGUUCGGAAGAGGCGAGUGGAAUUCCCGGUGUAGCGGUGAAAUGCGCAGAUAUCGGGAGGAACACCUAUGGCGAAGGCAGCUCGCUGGGACGUUACUGACGCUGAGACGCGAAAGCGUGGGGAGCAAACAGG
rnacentral:rRNA from 1 species